AGGUUGUCUAAGAUGAAACAAACC
rnacentral:siRNA from 1 species